AAUUUAAAAUAAAACAGACGCUAGCCAACUCGCUCCUAGGAGGCUCCCUCGAUUUCCUGCUUCGUCGGUCGUUGGAUGGUGGUUAAAAUAGCCUUCUGCAUGAUCUGGAACGUUAGAUGAUCGCGCUGCUCGUUUUCACCGCGUGGUAACCUCGCAUUGGCCAAUGACGCGUGGGCUCAUGCGAUGUGCUGGUUAGCUGGUGAACCGCUUCGUGGUGUGUGCGCACCCUGUCCCUGCACGCCGCGUGCACGUCGCGCCAUUUGCGGGAGAUCGUGCGAGAGCCACACCCAUUGGUCACCGCCCCGCACAAACCCUACCCUUUCCAGCGCUCCCAGAUCGAUGGAGCCGCCUCCCUUCUCCCUCUCUUCCUCCCCCAACGCGCCGGCCGCCGCCACCUGCCAUACCGCGUCCCCGCUGCGGCCAUGGCCUCUUCAAGAGGCACGCCCCUCCAUGGUCAGAAGCAGCAGACCAGGAUCCGGAUGAGGAAGAGGAGAUCCGGGCGCCCCAACGGUGGAUCGAUCGAUACCCGGAUGAGGAAGAGGAGAUCCAGGCGCCCCAAUGGUGGAUCGAUCGAUGCGAGGUGACGACGAGCUCCUCCGGACGUGGGGGAGCAGUGAGGCUGGAGAUCCAGUCGGCACAUGCCCCACGGGGUUGGGGAGACGCCGACAAUAGGGGCAAGGUGCAUCAGGGUCGAAGCUGCAGCGCUCCGGUCCCCAAGCCGCCUCCAGGCUCGCUUCCUCCUCCAUCCUCCCGCAUCUCACCCAUCUCGACGGAUACGAGGCGUGCGGGCACGGAGGCGAGGUUCUCCGGCGGCGGCAGGAACCUCCAGGCAGAGAGCGACCCCAUGGACCCGUCCCUGCAGGAGAGAAGGAAGGAGAGGAGACAGGCCAUGGAGAUGGGAUGAGAACGUCCAUGGCCAGCCAAUCGAGCCCCACCUCCGGUGCGCGACCCCAGGAAGGAUUUUGCGCUGCCGUCUUCUUUCGCCGGUCCGUGCCCUGGAAGAGCGACACCAGCCAGUUCUGCCUUACUUGCAGCGUGUGUGAUGUGUGCAUGCUUACUGAUGUGUGGCAAUCUCUUAAUUAUAAGUCCCAAUUUAUGCACUUUCUAGAAGGAUGAUGGUGAGGAGGGGCUACCUUUUCCUCGGAGAGGACCCUAACUGAACUUUGUAUCGAAGCUUUGUGUGUGUGUUUCUCCUUAAUCUGCGUGUAAAUUCAGAGUUCUAAUCACCAUUCUUGUGCUUGCUGGUUUCAGGCAUUGUAUGGGAAUGAAGCAAAAAGUCUGCCUUCCAUUGGCGUGUGAGUACUUGCACUUGGACCUUUUUGUGACCAGUACUAACUAAUCUAAUGAUCUGAUCCUUGCAAUCUAAGGAAAAAAUAAAUUACUGCACCUGGUUAUCUACAGAGGAAGGCAAGGAUAACUAGAUUAAACAUUUCACAAGACCCUCCCAAUUACAGGCACAAACUCCUUUCAAGAUAUUACAAGUGUGGUUGAUUACGGGAGAUUGUCAGAUGAAAAGAAGGUAUAUCCUUUAUAUUUAUCUAGAUGUUUAAUUAGCUGCACAGCCAUACGUGAUUCUAUAAGGAAACUAUUUAUCCUGGUGAUCUUGAUAUCCAGUCAUGUAUUACAGUAUUAGUAUAGGCUGUAAUUUUUGGCUAGGAAUCUAUAUAUAUAGAACCUAAACUGAAGACUCAAUAUAGCACAUAUACUAGGCCAGUUAUCCUAAGAAUAUUAAUCCACCUGGACUUUUAACUUGACUUCCAAAGAAGUUCUUAACGAUCAAGCAUUUUUGAGUUUUUAGUAAAUUGAAAUAAUGUUGCACUUUGACAAUACUAUUCUGAUUUUGCAAGUUAAUAGAAAUCCUUCAGUUUCAUACCACUUUUUUAAUCGCACAUUUGGAUGAGUAUUAGUAUAGGCUGUAAUUUUUGGCUAGGAAUCUAUAUAUACAGAACCUAAACUGAAGACUCAAUAUAGCACAUAUACUUGGCCAGUUAUCCUAAGAAUAUUAAUCCACCUGGACUUUUAACUUGACUUCCAAAGAAGUUCUUAACGAUCAAGCAUUUUUGAGUUUUUAGUAAAUUGAAAUAAUGUUGCACUUUGACAAUACUAUUCUGAUUUUGCAAGUUAAUAGAAAUCCUUCAAUUUCAUACCACUUUUUUAAUCGCACAUUUGGAUGAUUGCGACAUUAUCUCUUCUCGGAAUUCCGCUUGCAUGUUUCCAGUUGAGACAAUAACUGAGUUUGAUAAGUAACCACUAUAUUAUUUUCUAUGUGUACAUUACGAGCCCGAGACUUCCAUCACAACAAACUAUAUGUAUCCAGGUAGUGUCCAAUAUGUACACACAGGCUCCUCUCACAGGCCGACUAAGCUGAUUGUAACUGAAUGUGUGUGUGUGGCCGUGAAGUAGACUUUAUCUUGGUCUGAGUAUCAGUUCCCUUCAAUGGUACAAUUUUGGAUACUAUUUUCUUCUAGAUGUAUAGGUUUCUGCUGGUCCCAUUGGCUGCUACAUUUUAGUGAUACGAUAGCUCAAUGUCAUGCUCACCUAUUGUUCUGUAAAAAUGAAAAAUCGACUUGACUGUAUUUUGUACCUGUUUUAGUAAUUACAUGAUGUGAUUAUUUUCAUUCUAGAUAUGGAAAUAUUCUAAGGAUUAAGCUUUUUGAGAUGUUAAGGUGUCUGAUGAUUAAUUAGCCUUUGUAAGAUUUAUGCACUCAUGUCAUACAACCUAGAUAAUUCUCCUUGGAUCUCCAUAAUUUCUAACUGAAUAUAGAUGUAUACUGACAGUAAAUCCCGUUUUAGUAAUUAGUUGGAUAUAAUUGAUAAUUCUUUGACAUGUUUUUAUGAAAUGUCUGCUUAAAUCAGCGUUAGAUGCUCCCAUAAUCGAUUACUUUUUGGAUAUGAAUUAUUACUAUAAGAAGUAUAUUGGUUCUCCGGUGUUUUCAGUUCUUACAAUAAACAAAUUAUAUUGUUUUCCACUAAUCAUUUCUCAUGUAGUUUUACUCUGCAGUAUGUAUCUUUUGCUUCAUAACUCAUCUGUUCACAAGAUUGAUGCCUAGAAAUUUCAGCCUUCCGUGCUAAAUGUCGUCUGCUCAUUUGUAACGGCAUAGAGAUAGGAACGAGCAAUUCAUCUUAAGUUUGAGAAAGUGGCGGACAAAAGAGAACUGGACUAUUGUUGCUGAGCGCUAGCUCUGGCCGCAUGAUCAUCUAUAUAUAUAGUUUUCAACAGUAAAUGUAUCCUGAUUGGUAUAGCACAAAUGGAAAUCUUACUUUCUUCUAAACUCUUAAUUUCAAGAUGAACUGGAGAGGGGAAUUUGUACUAAGUUUGGAAUCUAUCACAGUAAGUGUGUAUUUGCGGUAUUGAUGUACAGUUAUUAAGAAAGUUACAUUUUUUCAGCUAUUGUGCUACUGAGAAGGAAGCAUGGCUGAGAAUUGCUCUGGCUGGAGUUGAAUGUCUUUGUGACUGAAUACUAGAGACGCUGACUUGCAGCCACUCUUUACAGUCCUACCACCUAGCUUUUAUCUCUCACCUUCCGUUAUUUUCAUGUUAACACUGCCAUUGGGGCAAAUCUAUAUUGCUUAUUGAUGGGUCUAGCUAUAGGUAGAAUUCCAUGUUUCCUACACUGUAUUAUACCCAUUACUAUUUGAAUGUUGAUUCUGACAA